rnacentral:rRNA from 1 species
CAGUAGCCACGGGAAUACGAGGGGGGCAAGCGUUGUUCGGAAUUAUUGGGCGUAAAGGGUGCGUAGGCGGUUUGACAAGUCUUAUGUGAAAUCUCUGGGCUCAACCCAGAGUCUGCAUGGGAAACUGUCGGGCUUGAGUAUGGGAGAGGUGAGUGGAAUUUCCGGUGUAGCGGUGAAAUGCGUAGAUAUCGGAAGGAACACCUGUGGCGAAAGCGGCUCACUGGACCAUAACUGACGCUGAUGCACGAAAGCUAGGGGAGCAAACAGGAUUAGAUACCCGCGUAGUCCCUGUCUCUUAUAC